rnacentral:rRNA from 1 species
CGUUUAUUUGAUAGUGCCUUACUACUUGGAUAACCGUGGUAAUUCUAGAGCUAAUACAUGCUAAAAACCCCGACUUCGGAAGGGGUGUAUUUAUUAGAUACAAAACCAAUGCCCUUCGGGGCUCUUUGGUGAUUCAUGAUAACUAUACGAAUCGCACGGCCUUGCGCCGGCGAUGGUUCAUUCAAAUUUCUUCCCUAUCAACUUUCGAUGUUUGGGUAUUGGCCAAACAUGGUUGCAACGGGUAACGGAGGGUUAGGGCUCGACCCCGGAGAAGGAGCCUGAGAAACGGCUACUACAUCCAAGGAAGGCAGCAGGCGCGCAAAUUACCCAAUCCCGACUCGGGGAGGUAGUGACAAUAAAUACUGAUACAGGGCCCUUUCGGGCCUUGUAAUUGGAAUGAGUACAAUUUAAAUCCCUUAACGAGGAACAAUUGGAGGGCAAGUCUGGUGCCAGCAGCCGCGGUAAUUCCAGCUCCAAUAGCGUAUAUUAAAGUUGUUGUGGUUAAAAAGCUCGUAGUUGAACCUUGGGCCUGGCUGGCCGGUCCGCCUCACCGCGUGCACUGGUCCGGCCGGGCCUUUCCCUCUGUGGAACCCCAUACCCUUCACUGGGCGUGGCGGGGAAACAGGACAUUUACUUUGAAAAAAUUAGAGUGCUCCAGGCAGGCCUAUGCUCGAAUACAUUAGCAUGGAAUAAUAAAAUAGGACGCGCGGUUCUAUUUUGUUGGUUUAUAGGACCGCCGUAAUGAUUAAUAGGGACAGUCGGGGGCAUCAGUAUUCAACUGUCAGAGGUGAAAUUCUUGGAUCAGUUGAAGACUAACUACUGCGAAAGCAUUUGCCAAGGAUG